AGAUUGAACGCUGGCGGCAUGCCUAACACAUGCAAGUCGAACGGGAGUAGCAAUACUCUAGUGGCGGACGGGUGAGGAAUACGUAGGAAUUUGCCCUUAAGUGGGGGAUAACCCGGGGAAACCCGGAUUAAUACCGCAUGACCUCGAAAGAGCAAAGUGGGGGAUCGCAAGACCUCACGCUUUUGGAGAAGCCUACGUCGGAUUAGCUAGUUGGUGAGGUAAUGGCUCACCAAGGCGACGAUCCGUAACUGGUCUGAGAGGAUGAUCAGUCACACCGGAACUGAGACACGGCCCGGACUCCGUACGGGAGGCAGCAGUGGGGAAUAUUGGACAAU
rnacentral:rRNA from 1 species